UUGAACGCUGGCGGCAGGCCUAACACAUGCCAGUCGCACGGUAACAGGAAGCAGCUUGCUGCUUUGCUGACGAGUGGCGGACGGGUGAGUAAUGUCUGGGAAACUGCCUGAUGGAGGGGGAUAACUACUGGAAACGGUAGCUAAUACCGCAUAACGUCGCAAGACCAAAGAGGGGGACCUUAGGGCCUCUUGCCAUCGGAUGUGCCCAGAUGGGAUUAGCUAGUAGGUGGGGUAACGGCUCACCUAGGCGACGAUCCCUAGCUGGUCUGAGAGGAUGACCAGCCACACUGGAACUGAGACACGGUCCAGACUCCUACGGGAGGCAGCAGUGGGGAAUAUUGCACAAUGGGCGCAAGCCUGAUGCAGCCAUGCCGCGUGUAUGAAGAAGGCCUUCGGGUUGUAAAGUACUUUCAGCGGGGAGGAAGGGAGUAAAGUUAAUACCUUUGCUCAUUGACGUUACCCGCAGAAGAAGCACCGGCUAACUCCGUG
rnacentral:rRNA from 1 species